UACAGAGGGUGCGAGCGUUAAUCGGAAUUACUGGGCGUAAAGCGUGCGUAGACGGUUAUUUAAGUCGGGUGUGAAAGCCCCGGGCUCAACCUGGGAAUUGCAUUCGAGACUGAAUAGCUAGGGUACGGUAGAGGGAAGCGGAAUUUCCGGUGUAGCGGUGAAAUGCGUAGAUAUCGGAAGGAACAUCAGUGGCGAAAGCGGCUUCCUGGACCAGUACCGACGUUCAGGCACGAAAGCGUGGGGAGCAAACAG
rnacentral:rRNA from 1 species